UACGGGGGGAGCAAGCGUUGUUCGGAUUUAUUGGGCGUAAAGCGGGUGUAGGUGGCUCUAUAAGUCAGGAGUGAAAUCCCCGAGCUUAACUUGGGAAGUGCUUUUGAUACUGCAGAGCUUGAAUGUGGGAGAGGAUAAUAGAAUUCCAGGUGUAGUGGUGAAAUACGUAGAUAUCUGGAGGAAUACCGGUGGCGAAGGCGGUUAUCUGGCCCAACAUUGACACUGAGACCCGAAAGCGUGGGGAUCAAACAGG
rnacentral:rRNA from 1 species